GGUAUCAUUUGUGAUCAGGCACUGAUAGAAUUACGCUAAACGCUAAUAGCUGUUUUAACAAAAAACUCUCUUCGAUAUUUUCCACUCUGCCAGAAUAUAAAAAAUGUCAACACAAGGUCAAUUUUUGUCUAUUUAGGAAUGGCAUACAACCAUUUAGACUCCUAAUAAUGAAUGAUAAUGCAGAAAAUAUUAUCAAAAAGAGUAUAUAGAGUGCUGCAGGGACGACACAUUUUUGUAGGCCAAAACCCAGAAACGAGUUAGCAUUUUAGCACUUCCGGAUCCAUCAUCCCAAAGUCAGUGUUUUUUGAAUGGGCUUUUGGUUAAAUAGCUGAUAUAAGGCUGUUAUGUCUCUUCAAAAAGGGGCAUGCUAAGAAGUGGCUAAAUGGGACUACAGAGGCUGUCGGGGACAUUAAACAUCAUCACGCCAAGUGCACUCCAGCAUCAACUCUACUGUGUUACCUGAUAAGACUGAUGGUGACUGGGUUCAUCAAGGACAGGACAUUAUACUGACCACUGCAGACCGGGAACACCCCACAAGACCUGCAGUUUUGGAGAUGCUCUGACCCAGUCGUCUAGCCAUCACAAUUUGGCCCUUGUCAAACUCACUCAAAUCCUUACGCUUGCCCAUUUUUCCUGCUUCUAACACAUCAACUUUGAGGACAAAAUGUUCACUUGCUGCCUAGGAUUAUUCACUUCACCUGUCAGUGGUCAUAAUGUUAUGCCUGAUCGGUGUGUAUAUAUGUGGUAUAUCCAAUUGGUGACAUAAUAAAUGUCUUGAAUGUUAUUGGAAGCUAACUGACUCAAAUUGUGCUGUCAAGAAAAUGUCAGUAAAAAACAUCUAAGCAAGAACAACAUCCUGAGAAAUGAUCAACACAAACGAUCAUCUUGUAUACAGAGCCAGUCUCUCGAUGAAGAAAGAACGUUCUACAUCUGAGACAAAUCAUUUCAACCAUAUUUCCACAUGCUCAGAGGAUUCAUUCGGAACAUAAGGAGUCUCUGAUUUGGCACAAGACAGCCUACGCAAAAAUAAACUUAAUUUAGGGCCCACCAGCAUUCAUUAAGAGCCAAAAACAGAAACCUAUUUAGACAUCUAAGAUUAUAAAAGUUUGGAUUUUUAGAAAUGUUUUAGCUUUUUGUCACACUUCUCAAAGUCAAAAAUUUUCAUAUAUAUUUCUUAAAGGGGUCAUGAAUUGAGAAAUCAACUUUUCCUUUAGCUUUUGAUAUAUAAGAGGUCAUCGUACUAUAAGAAAACUGAAAACUUCCUUGUUAGUCCAAUAAAAGCUUUUAUUGACACCAGGCCCAGCAAACGACUGAUCCUGGAAUUUGCCUAUAUCUACGACAUCAUAGAUAGGUGAAACCCCACCUCCGAAGAAGAAAUCAACACUUACUUCAUCUUUGCAAUGUUAGCCCCGCCCACUGGUGUGUUAGUAAGAUGACGAGGGGAUAAGAGCGAUACAGGACUAAAAAUAACAUUACCUUUCAAAGGAUCCUAAUGCUAGGAAUAUGGUUAUUUAUUUUCAACAAUGUGAAUGUCUUGGUUGAGCAUUAUUAUUUGUAUUCGGUACAUUUCACUGUGAAUUCUUUGGUACAUCAAUCGCAUUUCGGUGCAGUCUUUCCAAACAGACUUUUACGAUAUGGACUCGACAGUAAUGCAACAACAUGUAACUGUGUUAAUUCUAAUGCCUGAUCUGAUAUGUAAUGAUUUAUGUACAGUCAGAUGUUCUUUGUCUAUGUGUCAGUA